rnacentral:misc_RNA from 1 species
UUUUUUUUUAAUAAUGUUUUUGUAGCAACACCUAACAAAUGCAAUCUACUUUUGGAAACUAAAAUUCAUAUUUUUCUACCUUUUACAUUGGUGGUUUCAACUUUCAAGGCAUCCGGGAGAAAAUUUUGCGGGGAGAAAAUUUUGCGGCUGUCUCCUUUACCUUUAACACCCUUCAUUCCUUUUCUAUUUCCUUAGUGCUGUCUGUUUCACCAUACUACCCUGCACAACAUUGAAUGUG